rnacentral:lncRNA from 1 species
UGACUAUAAGCUGAAACACACACGUGGGUGUAAAAAUGCACACUCCUAAUAUAUAAGCACAUGUAGACAUAUACAUUCAUUCAAUAUUCCUGUUGUAUAGCUUGGAAAUGAUUCCAAACACUUCUAUCCACAUUGCCUUUAAAAUUAUCUUCCAGUGAAAAUUUAUUUGGCAAUUUAUUGAAUUUUUAAAUAAUUUAACUCUUUUCAAAAUGAUUUGGAGAUGACUCAUGAAAAAUAAAUGAUUCAAAAUUUUGGAAGCAGAAUGGGAGAGUAGGAGGAAAGGAAACAUUCUCAAGUGCUUCAUUUGGUUCAAGUGACAAUGACAUAUCAAGUAAGCGUAUUAUUCAUCAAACAUUUUUUAGUUAUAAAAAGUUCAUCAAGUUAUCCUCUCAUUCCCUGUGUUAAUCCUGUGUUCUUUACAA